rnacentral:rRNA from 1 species
AUGGAGCCGACCUUGAAAUACCACCCUUUAAUGUUUGAUGUUCUAACGUUGACCCGUAAUCCGGGUUGCGGACAGUGUCUGGUGGGUAGUUUGACUGGGGCGGUCUCCUCCUAAAGAGUAACGGAGGAGCACGAAGGUUGGCUAAUCCUGGUCGGACAUCAGGAGGUUAGUGCAAUGGCAUAAGCCAGCUUGACUGCGAGCGUGACGGCGCGAGCAGGUGCGAAAGCAGGUCAUAGUGAUCCGGUGGUUCUGAAUGGAAGGGCCAUCGCUCAACGGAUAAAAGGUACUCCGGGGAUAACAGGCUGAUACCGCCCAAGAGUUCAUAUCGACGGCGGUGUUUGGCACCUCGAUGUCGGCUCAUCACAUCCUGGGGCUGAAGUAGGUCCCAAGGGUAUGGCUGUUCGCCAUUUAAAGUGGUACGCGAGCUGGGUUUAGAACGUCGUGAGACAGUUCGGUCCCUAUCUGCCGUGGGCGCUGGAGAACUGAGGGGGGCUGCUCCUAGUACGAGAGGACCGGAGUGGACGCAUCACUGGUGUUCGGGUUGUCAUGCCAAUGGCACUGCCCGGUAGCUAAAUGCGGAAGAGAUAAGUGCUGAAAGCAUCUAAGCACGAAACUUGCCCCGAGAUGAGUUCUCCCUGACUCCUUGAGAGUCCUGAAGGAACGUUGAAGACGACGACGUUGAUAGGCCGGGUGUGUAAGCGCAGCGAUGCGUUGAGCUAACCGGUACUAAUGAACCGUGAGGCUUAACCUUACAACGCCGAAGCUGUU